AGCCAUGAUGUGGGCAAGAACUUAGAAAGUCCUUAAACCUCUCCCAACAUUUGAAGAAAUUUUCUUCCUCUUUCUGUGAAAAGCUCAUGAUGGUCUUCUAAGAAU